UGGGGAAUUUUGGACAAUGGGCGCAAGCCUGAUCCAGCAAUGCCGCGUGCAGGAUGAAGGCCUUCGGGUUGUAAACUGCUUUUGUACGGAACGAAAAGGCUCUGGCUAAUACCUGGGGCACAUGACGGUACCGUAAGAAUAAGCACCGGCUAACUACGUGCCAGCAGCCGCGGUAAUACGUAGGGUGCGAGCGUUAAUCGGAAUUACUGGGCGUAAAGCGUGCGCAGGCGGUUUUGUAAGACAGAGGUGAAAUCCCCGGGCUCAACCUGGGAACUGCCUUUGUGACUGCAAGGCUGGAGUGCGGCAGAGGGGGAUGGAAUUCCGCGUGUAGCAGUGAAAUGCGUAGAUAUGCGGAGGAACACCGAUGGCGAAGGCAAUCCCCUGGGCCUGCACUGACGCUCAUGCACGAAAGCGUGGGGAGCAAACAGGAUUAGAUACCCUGGUAGUCCACGCCCUAAACGAUGUCAACUGGUUGUUGGGUCUUAAUUGACUCAGUAACGAAGCUAACGCGUGAAGUUGACCGCCUGGGGAGUACGGCCGCAAGGUUGAAACUC
rnacentral:rRNA from 1 species